CAACGUCAUUCUACCUGCUCUGUCCAGGCUACUUGAGAAAGCCAGCGGGGGAGAGGGGAAGAGUUUGGGGAACCCGGCCAGCGGGGAGCAAACAGAGGUGAAGCUGUGAAGACUUCUACUUACUGACCACAGAGGAAGUUCUGCCUGCUCACCCUGCGACUGGAAGCUCCACUAACACUGCAGCAACUCACCCAUCACACGGGAGCACCGCUGGCUCACUGAUCGUGCAGGGGCACUAUCUUGUCCAGCGAUGGUGUUGGAGCUGCAUUUCCUCAGCGAGAAUCAGGAUUCAUCAGUCCUGGCAGCUCUGGUCUCUGCAUACUGGUUGCUGGGAAGGUUUUUAAAGACGCUUUGGUGGGAAGACUUCCUGAUCCGGGUCCAAACUGAAAAUGGAUACUCCAUUUGCAAGACAGUGACACUUCCAGUGUGGUAUCAUCAAACAUCUCCCAAGCAACAGCAGCCUGGAACAUUAUUGUUUAACCACUUCUUGCUCAACAUUGUGUGGGUUUCACUUACAGAAGGAUCUACGUGGUAAGUGAGGUAGGAGCAGGUCAGCACAAACAGAACUAUAAAUAUCUUGAUAGAGACAGGUGUAUGAAAUCGAACUCAGUGGGGAAAAGAGACGUAGAUAAACAGCUGGAUAAGAACACAGGCUUGAACCUACUGAAAUACUAAGAUGAUAUAAAAGAUAAUAUUAAAGAAAAAGUUACCUGUGGUUCUUUUA